rnacentral:rRNA from 1 species
AGUGUAGUUAAUAGCUGCAUUAUUUGACGUUAGCGACAGAAGAAGCACCGGCUAACUCCGUGCCAGCAGCCGCGGUAAUACGGAGGGUGCGAGCGUUAAUCGGAAUUACUGGGCGUAAAGCGCAUGCAGGUGGUUUGUUAAGUCAGAUGUGAAAGCCCGGGGCUCAACCUCGGAAUUGCAUUUGAAACUGGCAGACUAGAG